rnacentral:rRNA from 1 species
UACGAAGGGGGCUAGCGUUGCUCGGAAUCACUGGGCGUAAAGGGUGCGUAGGCGGGUCUUUAAGUCAGGGGUGAAAUCCUGGAGCUCAACUCCAGAACUGCCUUUGAUACUGAAGAUCUUGAGUUCGGGAGAGGUGAGUGGAACUGCGAGUGUAGAGGUGAAAUUCGUAGAUAUUCGCAAGAACACCAGUGGCGAAGGCGGCUCACUGGCCGAUACUGACGC